GCACCUCAUACCCAUGGGACACAGGCACUUGGGUGAGUUUGAUGAAGUCCCCUGGGUUAAGAAAGAGGGUUUCCCUUUUGCUUGGGGCUCUGGGCAGACUUGGGUGGUUGUUAAUGGUGCCCCAGAUGAGGCUCCCACCCAUGGGCAGCCCACACCUGUGUUGGGUUGAGCUGAUCUCCUGGUUUGCAGUCACAGCUGUAACCGCUGAGGACACCCUUUGUCUCCCCACCUUUCAGGUUUCUUCUCCUGGUGUGCCUGCACCAGAAGGGUCCUGUCUUGCUGGGAGGAGGCAGCUCUGGAGGCUUUGGAAGAACAGUACUCUGGAGCCCAUGUGAGCUCUGUGCAGAAGGCUGCAUGUCUCCUGAAAGGAGCUGCAUUUUCAAGAGGGUAGCUUGUAAAGAAGAUCCAAAGGCUAUUUCAUUUACUGCCCCAUAACAGCUUUAUAAUCAGCUGCAGCUUGGCAGGCUGCACCCCACUCCUUCAGGCUCCUCAGUCAGGGAUGGGAGCACGACAGCUCCACCCCAGGCACUGGCAGACUGGGAUGGCUUUUACAGGGACAUCUUCUGCCCUCUCACCCCCCUGGUGCUGCACAUGUGAGUGUCUGUCUGUGUAAGCAAUGUGGUGAUGAUCACUUUGAUCAGCCCUGGUACCAGCACUGCCAGCCCUUUUCCCACUGCACGCAGGAGCACAUCCCAUAAAUCCGGAGUGACUGCAGCCAGCCAUCUGCAAGGGAGCCAACAUUCAGCUGCAACGAGCAGCACCUGAGUUUGGAAGCCUUUUCCAAGGGCUCAGACCAAGGGAUCAGCUGCAUCGAGCAGGUCUCAGAGGAAAGAACUGGCAAACCACCCUCCCAUCGAGCCACAACAGCAGAGGAGAAGGAGGACAGGGCAUCAGGAACCAGGGCCAAAAGACCUAAAGAUGUAGUGGCUGCUUGCCCACAAUAAGAAGUUCUUCCAAGUUUCAGGUGGGUCAUGUGCUUAUGAGGCUGGGCCCCAGACUGGAUUUUAAGUGCAGGUCCUCUGAAUUGCUACCUCGUGCCAGGAACCCCAGUUGCUGCUGCAGAGAGGCAUCCACCAGAAGUUGACCUCCUUAUCUUGAAUUUCACAUGUAAUGAGUAGCUAAAUCUGACACCAAAUUAUUUUAGGAAGAAAAUUCAAAGUCAAGCCAUUUCCUUUGAAAACGCCAUUUGAAACCUUUGGGGAACAGAUAUGGAAACAUAAUUUAAAACUCAUUUCCCCACACAAGUGAUUGGGAUUAAUUUCAGUAAAUCCGGUGUUUACUAUGCACAGAACAUCUCCUCUCUCACCACAAGCCCUGGACACUUUGGACUAUUCUUUCAUUGGACUACACUUUCAAAAGUGCUCCCUCAUUCUGCUUGUGUAAUUCGGAUUUGGUUUUAUCUGCAAGAAAAUGUCUCUUCAGUUACUGAGCCUGAGCGUGCUGUGGCUGAGGGAGAAGUGCCUGGCCUGGGCUGUGCCACAGGGAAGCAGCAGCACUGCAGUCCCAGCCCGAGCCAUGCCAGGGACAGGCACCUCCGCUGACCAUACUCAGGGGCUGGGGGAGAAGCUGUGCUGGCUGGCACCAGCUCUGUCGGAAAGCACUGCUUGCAUUUGUAAUGCAAAGCAGACAUGAUUUCAGCACCUGAUCUCUUUGACAACAAAGGCUGUAGAAGAUUAGAAAUACUUAGAUUUGCACUUCAUUAAAAAAUGUAUUUCCCUCUGUAAAAGGAA